rnacentral:rRNA from 1 species
GACGAACGCUGGCGGCGUGCUUAACACAUGCAAGUCGAGCGGUAAGGCCCUUUCGGGGUACGACGAGCGGCGAACGGGUGGAGUAACACGUGGGUGACCUGCCCUCCAGCUCUGGGAGUAAGCCUGGGAAACGUAGGGUCUAAUACUGGAUAUGACUCCACGGUGCAUGUCGUGGGGUGGAAAGCCUUGUGCGGCUGAGGAUGGGCCCGCGGCCUAUCAGCUUGUUGGUGGGGUGAGGCCUACCAAGGCGACGACGGGUAGCCGGCCUGAGAGGGCGACCGGCCACACUGGGACUGAGACACGGCCCAGACUCCUACGGGAGGCAGCAGUGGGGAAUCUUGCGCAAUGGGCGAAAGCCUGACGCAGCGACGCCGCGUGAGGGAUGACGGCCUGGUGUAACU